rnacentral:rRNA from 1 species
CUAACACAUGCAAGUCGAACGGUAACAGGAAGCAGCUUGCUGCUUUGCUGACGAGUGGCGGACGGGUGAGUAAUGUCUGGGAAACUGCCUGAUGGAGGGGGAUAACUACUGGAAACGGUAGCUAAUACCGCAUAACGUCUUCGGACCAAAGAGGGGGACCUUCGGGCCUCUUGCCAUCAGAUGUGCCCAGAUGGGAUUAGCUAGUAGGUGGGGUAAUGGCUCACCUAGGCGACGAUCCCUAGCUGGUCUGAGAGGAUGACCAGCCACACUGGAACUGAGACACGGUCCAGACUCCUACGGGAGGCAGCAGUGGGGAAUAUUGCACAAUGGGCGCAAGCCUGAUGCAGCCAUGCCGCGUGUAUGAAGAAGGCCUUCGGGUUGUAAAGUACUUUCAGCGAGGAGGAAGGCAUUAAGGUUAAUAACCUUAGUGAUUGACGUUACUCGCAGAAGAAGCACCGGCUAACUCCGUGCCAGCAGCCGCGGUAAUACGGAGGGUGCAAGCGUUAAUCGGAAUUACUGGGCGUAAAGCGCACGCAGGCGGUCUGUCAAGUCGGAUGUGAAAUCCCCGGGCUCAACCUGGGAACUGCAUUCGAAACUGACAGGCUAGAGUCUUGUAGAGGGGGGUAGAAUUCCAGGUGUAGCGGUGAAAUGCGUAGAGAUCUGGAGGAAUACCGGUGGCGAAGGCGGCCCCCUGGACAA